UCCUGAGGACCUCAAGCCCUGGGGACAGAGCUGGUCAGGGGGACACGGUCACACAGCAGACUUGAGCCUCGUCAAAGGAGGCAGAGCGCAGGAAGGCACAGACUCUGCAAAGGAAGAUGCCUCAUGUGGUGACCCCUUGGGGUCAUGCUCAUGGAUGGAGUCAGUGUGCUGGGCACAUGGCAGGGACCAGAGAUCACCUGCUGAAUGAAGAAGAAGUGAGUGAAUGAGGGAGUGAAUGGGAGAGGGAGUGAAGAAGUGAAUGAUGGAGGUAAAGUCCACACAGCAGGGGAAUUUUUUUGGGCUGAGGUCAGAGGGUGUAACAGCCUGGGCCCUCUAAGGUGGCACAGGGUAUGUCCUGCUCUCCUCCCAUGGCUGGCCUUCCUUCGUGUAGCACCUGAUGACAUCCGGGAUCAUCUCCAUCUCCUCAGACAAUACUGAAUGUUCCCAGAGGUGGGAACCAGGCAGAGACCUGAGCAGGGUCUUCCAGGAGUGCCCUGCCUUAGAGCAUCAUGUGGCAACCUGCCAGGUGGCUCUUUAUGUCUUGUAGGCACCAGGCAAUGAUUCCACCUCAUCUCUCAGAGAAUCCAACAGACAACCCAUCAAGAAGGCCAAGUUAGGUCCUCCAGUCACAGAUGUGGAAACUAAGGCUAAUAGCACAAUCUGGGUUCACUAGUAAAACAAGCUAGGAAAGUCCCACAUCUCUGACAACUGCUCCCCAUGGAGGUCGCCUCCCUUUGGACCUGCAUGUGUUUGCUCUUCAUCCCAGGAACACAUGGACUUUGGAGUGUUUUGGGAAGAGAGGCCUGGGAAACGUUUCUCUGGAGUUGGGUUGUGAGUAACCUUUUUCCCCUCUGUGGUGUCACUGUCCAGCUUUCUGCAUUUCCUUCUUUAUGUUUUCACCAAAGGGGCAAAAACCAUGUCUUCUCUGGCAUCAGGCUGUGGUGUCACAGAAGGAACAGGGGCCUCUACCCCAAGGUUAUGACCAGUUUUACCAAAGGGGUCUAAUUUUUUCACAUCCAACUUUUAAUCCUUUGGGGAUUUCAAUAUCAAAUGAGAAAAAUUCUGUUUCAAAUAAACACAAAAUACAAAAAUUAA